CGCGUAGGCGGGUUCGCAAGUCUGUGGUGAAAGCCUCCAGCUUAACUGGAGAAGUGCCGUGGAUACUGCGAAUCUUGAGGAGGGUAGGGGCAUCUGGAACGGUCGGUGGAGCGGUGAAAUGCGUUGAUAUCGACCGGAACUCCGGUGGCGAAGGCGAGGUGCUGGACCCUUUCUGACGCUGAGGCGCGAAAGCCAGGGAGGCAAACG
rnacentral:rRNA from 1 species